GUGGGGAAUUUUGGACAAUGGGGGCAACCCUGAUCCAGCCAUCCCGCGUGUGCGACGAAGGCCUUCGGGUUGUAAAGCACUUUUGGCAGGAAAGAAAUUGCCUGGGUUAAUACCCUGGGUAGAUGACGGUACCUGCAGAAUAAGCACCGGCUAACUACGUGCCAGCAGCCGCGGUAAUACGUAGGGUGCAAGCGUUAAUCGGAAUUACUGGGCGUAAAGCGUGCGCAGGCGGUUCGGAAAGAAAGAUGUGAAAUCCCAGGGCUUAACCUUGGAACUGCAUUUUUAACUACCGGGCUAGAGUGCGUCAGAGGGGGGUGGAAUUCCGCGUGUAGCAGUGAAAUGCGUAGAUAUGCGGAGGAACACCGAUGGCGAAGGCAGCCCCCUGGGAUGACACUGACGCUCAUGCACGAAAGCGUGGGGAGCAAACAGGAUUAGAUACCCGUGUAGUCC
rnacentral:rRNA from 1 species